rnacentral:rRNA from 1 species
CCUACGGGAGGCAGCAGUCGAGAAUCAUUCACAAUGGGGGAAACCCUGAUGGUGCGACGCCGCGUGGGGGAAUGAAGGUCUUCGGAUUGUAAACCCCUGUCAUGUGGGAGCAAAUUAAAAUACUUGUACCACAAGCGGAAGCGACGGCUAACUCUGUGCCAGCAGCAGCGGUAAUACAGCGGUCUUAAGCGUUGUUCGGAAUCACUGGGCGUAAAGUGGGCGUAGGCUGUUUCGUAAGUCGUGUGUGAAAGGCGCGGGCUCAACCCGCGGACGGCACCUGAUACUGCGAGACUAGAGUAAUGGAGGGGGAAGCGGAAUUCUCGGUGUAGCAGUGAAAUGCGUAGAUAUCGAGAGGAACACUCGUGGCGAAGGCGGGUUCCUGGACAUUAACUGACGCUGAGGCACGAAGGCGAGGGGAGCGAAAGGGAUUAGAUACCCGGGUAGUC